UGAUCUGGUGGAUGUGUUCAGAAGACCUCUU
rnacentral:piRNA from 1 species